UGGGGAAUUUUGGACAAUGGGGGCAACCCUGAUCCAGCAACGCCGCGUGAAUGAAGAAGGCCUUAGGGUUGUAAAGUUCUUUUGUCAGGGAAGAAAGUUUCUGUGCUAAUAUCAUAGAACGAUGACGGUACCUGAAGAAUAAGCACCGGCUAACUACGUGCCAGCAGCCGCGGUAAUACGUAGGGUGCAAGCGUUAAUCGGAAUUACUGGGCGUAAAGCGUGCGCAGGCGGAUAUGUAAGUUAGAAGUGAAAUCCCCGGGCUCAACCUGGGAACUGCUUUUAAGACUGCGUAUCUAGAGUUUGUCAGAGGGGGGUGGAAUUCCAAGUGUAGCAGUGAAAUGCGUAGAGAUUUGGAGGAACACCGAUGGCGAAGGCAGCCCCCUGGGAUAAAACUGACGCUCAUGCACGAAAGCGUGGGUAGCAAACAGG
rnacentral:rRNA from 1 species